GUCGUAAUAUAUGGUGUCCCAAAACGGAGAGUGGAUAAGAUGCCAAAAGGAAUGGGGACAGAGGGGAAUAGCGUGGAACAAAGUUAUCCUCUGGAUGGUGUGGACUAGUUAUCCCCUCGUGAACCCAAUCAUUGCUAUCCCAGGCGCGCGUGCGACGACAGAGCGGCCGGGCCACGGCGGGAUCCCGUUGCUCGCCGCUCGGCCCCCUUGUCCACCAUAACCCC
rnacentral:lncRNA from 1 species